rnacentral:rRNA from 1 species
UACGGAGGGAGCUAGCGUUGUUCGGAAUUACUGGGCGUAAAGCGCGCGUAGGCGGCUUUGUAAGUUAGAGGUGAAAGCCCGGGGCUCAACCCCGGAACCGCCUUUAAGACUGCAUCGCUUGAAUCCAGGAGAGGUGAGUGGAAUUCCGAGUGUAGAGGUGAAAUUCGUAGAUAUUCGGAAGAACACCAGUGGCGAAGGCGGCUCACUGGACUGGUAUUGACGCUGAGGUGCGAAAGCGUGGGGAGCAAACAGG